rnacentral:rRNA from 1 species
GACGGGGGAUGCAAGCGUUAUCCGGAAUCACUGGGCGUAAAGCGUCUGUAGGUGGUGAUGCAAGUCACUGGUGCAAAACUCUGGCUCAACCGGAGGAAAGCCAGUGAAACUGCAUGACUAGAGUGUGAGAGAGGUAGAAGGAAUUCCCUGAGUAGCGGUGAAAUGCGUAGAUACAGGGAAGAACACCGGAGGCGAAAGCGUUCUACUGGAACACAACUGACACUGAGAUACGAAAGCCAGGGGAGCGUAUGGG